UACGUAGGGUGCAAGCGUUGUCCGGAAUUAUUGGGCGUAAAGAGCUCGUAGGCGGUUUGUCGCGUCGAAUGUGAAAACCCGGGGCUCAACCCCGGGCCUGCAUUCGAUACGGGCAGACUAGAGUUCGGUAGGGGAGUCUGGAAUUCCUGGUGUAGCGGUGAAAUGCGCAGAUAUCAGGAGGAACACCGGUGGUGUAAACGGCUUUCUGGACCAUAACUGACGCUGAUGCACGAAAGCGUGGGUAGCAAACAGG
rnacentral:rRNA from 1 species